GUAAUAAAAGUUUCUCUUCUCCAAAAUCUUUCUACUCUUCUAAAAUUCCCUUAGCCUAAAAGUCUCCCUCCAAAUAUUAAUAGCAAUCCUCUUCCAACAAAUAAGUCAUAGAACCUGGUCAUGAUUUUCUUUUGAGGCGAUGAUGACGCAACAGGGCGAAAUAACAAAAGUUGGAGGAACAAAUACUACUAAUCAUUUACUAUAAAUUGGUAUACAACAAAAAUGCCCAUGGAAAUGUAAAUACCAAUCAUGGAAAAUUGAGGAAAAAUAGUUGAAAAAAGAGUGGGAAUUAUGAGGCAAUGCAUGUGAUUAAUAGCAGGUCUCCUAAGUUGGAAACAAAGUAUAGAGAGAAAGGUAACACACCACGUGAGAGGUUAGUUGCGAGCAUCAGAAGUAUUUUUGGCAGUGAGGUUGGCGACGUUGCCAUUUCUGCUCUCACAUAUAUAACUAGCCAUCCACUGAUUCUUUCUCUGCCUUUGCCAUGCCUUUGCCAUCCCUACAGCCUGUACCUUUGCUUGUUUUCUGCCAUCCACCCCCAGCCCUGUCUCCUCUCUGGCUAUUUAUAUAAUUUAAUACAUAUUUCCAUUUUAUACGUCAUAUACUAAUACCUGACAUAGCUGUGUAUAUUUCUUGAGUUUAUGUUUUAUAUACGUAAAUAAAUUCUUACUCUAUCAAAUCAUCUUAAAAAAUAAUAGUCUAUUAUGUGAUCAAGGGUGAAUGCACGUUUUCGUCGGAAAAUUAAUGUUACUAAACUUAUGUAUUAAUACUAUGCAGGAACGAAUAAAUAGAAGGAAAAAAAAAAAAUGAUCAAAGACUGUUGCUUAACAAGCUGGUUAAGUGCUUGUUUUUGCUUCUAUUGGUAGGAGGUUUGAACCUCAGCUUGAAUAUUUUUGGCAAAUAUUUGAGAAAGUCCUCUAUUUCUAAAAAUUAUGGUUAUGUAGAAUUGAACUCUUAACCUGUUUUAGCUUACUCAACAAAACUAAUAGAUCAAGGCUAUUUAUCAUACUUAAAUGUGAUAAUUAAUAGUAGUAAUAUUUAUUUUCCUUUCUUUUAUAAAUAUCGAUACUAUUUACAAAAUAUUGUGGGUACACUAAUGAAUGUGGUAAGUAACCUUAAACAUAGGAGAUGUUACUCGAGUAGUACAUCUAGAAAUUUAUAUAAAAGGAUUUCCAAAAGAGAAAUAGAAUAUAACAAAUUAAAUUUAAUCAUGUGACCUAAAAUAACUUUUGAAUUCCUUUUACCACUAUACUAGAAUUUUUCUUCGUAUCAAAGGAAUAGAAAAGAGAAUUUAUCCUGCAUGCUACAAUAAAUUAGAAGUAAAAAUUAAUUUAACUAUCUGUGUACGUAAGUUAAAUCCAUAGUACAAUUAUAUAUGCUUAUCUAAGUUGGAUGAUAAGUGGUUACUGUCAAAAAAUU
rnacentral:lncRNA from 1 species